CAUGCAAGUCGAACGAGGCCCUAGGAGCUUGCUCCGAACGGUCGAGUGGCGAACGGGUGAGUAACACGUGAGAAACCUGCCCCGAAGACCGGGAUAACCCACCGAAAGGUGAGCUAAUACCGGAUACCUUCACGACGUCUCCUGGCGAUGUGAAGAAAUGGAUUCCGCUUUGGGAGGGUCUCGCGGCCUAUCAGCUUGUUGGUGAGGUAACGGCUCACCAAGGCGACGACGGGUAGCUGUUCUGAGAGGAAGAUCAGCCACACUGGGACUGAGACACGGCCCAGACUCCUACGGGAGGCAGCAGUGGGGAAUCUUGCGCAAUGGGCGAAAGCCUGACGCAGCGAUGCCGCGUGCGGGAAGACGGCCUUAGGGUUGUAAACCGCUUUCAGCAGGGACGAAAUUGACGGUACCUGCAGAAGAAG
rnacentral:rRNA from 1 species